CGCAGCCCUUGCUGGACCAUCCCUCCCGGAGUCCCCUCCCGAGUCCCCUCGCGCCUACCCACACAGCGCCUGGGUCACAAGGGGAAGACGCCCGGUCCUGUAGCUGUCUCCUACCCACCUGGAGGGAGGCCCUCCCAACCCCCACCCCAGCUGUGACCGCUCCUUGGAUGAGUGCCGGCCGCGUGACCCCUGCCGUCUGCCUGCCCCGCCUGCCAUCCUAAGCAAGAACCCAGCCAUGGACCCUGUGCAUGAGUGGCCACCUGCUGCUCCAGCCUUGGACUGUCUCGAGGCCUUCAAAAGGGCUUCUAAGUGGGGCCUGGAGCGGCUCUUUGAAGGUGACCAAGGAGGACCAGAGAGGAGUGGGACCCCCUGCAGCGCAGAGCCCAGCUGGACAGGCCAACCCCCGGGCUACCCACUGCUCUGUGGAUGGGGAAGGAUGCUUUCUCCUGACAGCUACUGAGUUUGGACUGUCUAUGAAUGGCAUUGUAGAGACAACAGCUGGCUGUGAUGUGGGGAAGGAGUCGAGAUCAACCAGUCAAUAAAAGUUUUGAGAAUUCAAACAAUUGUAUAUAAACAGUUUACCUGGA